GAUGAACGCUGGCGGCGUGCCUAAUACAUGCAAGUCGAACGCUGAAGGAGGAGCUUGCCCUUCUGGAUGAGUUGCGCACGGGUGAGUAACGCGUAGGUAACCUGCCUGUUAGCGGGGGAGAACUAUUGGAAACGAUAGCUAAUACCGCAUGACAACAGUUAUUGCAUGAUAAUUGUUUAAAAGGGGCAACUGCUCUACUACCAGAUGGUCCUGCGUUGUAUUAGCUAGUUGGUGAGGGAACGGCUCAACAAGGCGACGAUACAUAGGCGACCUGGGAGGGUGGUCGGCCACAAUGGGACUGGGACACGGCCCAGACUCCUACGGGGGGGAGCAGUAGGGGAUCUUCGGCAAUGGGCGGAAGUCUGACCGGGCAACGCCGCGUGGGUGGAGAAGGUUUUCGGAUCGUAAAGCUCUGUUGUAAGGGAAGAACGAGUGUGGGAGUGGAAAGUUCACACUGUGACGGUAUCUAACCAGAAAGGGACGGCUAACUACGUG
rnacentral:rRNA from 1 species